rnacentral:sRNA from 1 species
CCAUGCAAAUGACAAUGUUAUUGUUUAAGCGCUGUGGUGAAUCCCCCUGUGCGGUGGGGCGUAAUUGGUUAUUAAUGGGAAUAGCUGUUUAUUUGUCACGCGAGCCAUGGUAUAUCCAGCCAAAGGUUCACCGGGAGGCACCCGGCACUGCAGCAUACUGAUAACAAAUAUAGCGUGUCUUAAAGGUCAACUUUGAUAC